rnacentral:rRNA from 1 species
CCUACGGGAGGCAGCAGUGGGGAAUUUUGGACAAUGGGCGCAAGCCUGAUCCAGCAAUGCCGCGUGAGUGAAGAAGGCCUUCGGGUUGUAAAGCUCUUUUGUCAGGGAAGAAACGGUGGGAGCUAAUAUCUCCUGCUAAUGACGGUACCUGAAGAAUAAGCACCGGCUAACUACGUGCCAGCAGCCGCGGUAAUACGUAGGGUGCAAGCGUUAAUCGGAAUUACUGGGCGUAAAGCGUGCGCAGGCGGUUUUGUAAGACUGUCGUGAAAUCCCCGGGCUCAACCUGGGAAUGGCGAUGGUGACUGCAAGGCUAGAGUUUGGCAGAGGGGGGUAGAAUUCCACGUGUAGCAGUGAAAUGCGUAGAUAUGUGGAGGAACACCGAUGGCGAAGGCAGCCCCCUGGGUCAAAACUGACGCUCAUGCACGAAAGCGUGGGGAGCAAACAGGAUUAGAUACCCUGGUAGUCCACGCCCUAAACGAUGUCUACUAGUUGUCGGGUCUUAAUUGACUUGGUAACGCAGCUAACGCGUGAAGUAGACCGCCUGGGGAAGUAACGGUCGCAAGAUUAAAACUUCAAAUGAAUUGACCGGNNGAGAGNGCGAGCGACGACGAGGGAGAGG